UUUUUGGCAACUUAUUUUCAUCCCUUUAGAUCCAAUUUUGGAAUUGGUUCAUGCUCUCUCAACCUUUAGGGGAGAUAAAUAUCUCAGGGAAAAUUAGCUGAUUGCAGUGGAAAAUUUUCUGCUAGAAGAUUCAUUCUUGUAUAGACACGCUUGGUACGCGUCACCAUUAAUAAACACCAAGAAUAUGGUCAAAGCCGAAAGCAAGAGUCUCACUAAAAUCUUGACUUUUGAC
rnacentral:misc_RNA from 1 species